CCUUCGAUAGCUCAGUUGGUAGAGCGGUGGACUGUAGAUUGGUAUAAUUGAAUUAUGUAGACAUCCAUAGGUCGCUGGUUCAAAUCCGGCUCGAAGGA
rnacentral:tRNA from 1 species